ensembl:lncRNA
CAAGAAUGACUGGAGUGGGUUGCCAUUCCCUUCUCCAGGGGAUUGUCCUAACCCAGGGAUCAAACCUCGGCCUCCUGCAUUGCACGCAGACUAUUUACCAUCUGAGACACAAGGGAAGACUCACAAUUUCAAUUAAUCAACAACAGAGGAAAUGCUUAUAGGGUCAUUUGUGGAAACACAUUUUUAUGUUACUACUUGUUAUAGUUACUCAUAUUAAAGGCAAGCUGAGAGAGGUCAAUGCAAGGAAAGAGCUUAGGCUUGCCUUAUGUCCAAGUAGACAAGAAGAGCCAAGAAGUCUGGAAGACACCAAAAGGAAAGAAGGGUCAGGAAAGGUUAAUGCGUAUGGUCUUCGUGAACAAAGUAGUUGCCUGAGGGCCAAGUGAAUAAAACCUAUGAGGAAGCAAAAGCAAACCCAAUUUCUGUAAUGCCUGCGAGGACGGAAGUGGUGUGCAACAUCUUUUACACUGUACGUAUAUUCUAAGGAGAAGAGGGUGUCAGUGGAUGAGAUGGUUGGAUGGCAUCACCGAUGCAACGGACAUAAACCUGGGCAAAGCUUAGGAGAUGGUGAGUGACAGAGAAGCCUGGCGUGCUGCAGUUCAUGGGGUCCAAGGACUGGGAGACUGAACGACAG